rnacentral:rRNA from 1 species
AGUGAACGCUGGCGGUAGGCCUAACACAUGCAAGUCGAACGGCAGCACAGUAAGAGCUUGCUCUUACGGGUGGCGAGUGGCGGACGGGUGAGGAAUACAUCGGAAUCUACUUUUUCGUAGGGGAUAACGUAGGGACACUUACGCUAAUACCGCAUACGACCUACGGGUGAAAGCAGGGGAUCUUCGGACCUUGCGCGAUUGAAUGAGCCGAUGUCGGAUUAGCUAGUUGGCGGGGUAAAGGCCCACCAAGGCGACGAUCCGUAGCUGGUCUGAGAGGAUGAUCAGUCACACUGGAACUGAGACACGGUCCAGACUCCUACGGGAGGCAGCAGUGGGGAAUAUUGGACAAUGGGCGCAAGCCUGAUCCAGCCAUGCCGCGUGGGUGAAGAAGGCCUUCGGAUUGUAAAGCCCUUUUAUUUGGGAAGAAAAGCAGCAGGUUAAUACCCCGCUGUUCUGACGGUACCCAAAGAAUAAGCACCGGCUAACUUCGUG